rnacentral:rRNA from 1 species
AGCUUCUCCUGAUACUUGACUUGGACAGAUGGCUUCUUCCUCGGUUUGGUGGUCAUAGCGUUGGCUAAACACCCGAUCCCAUCCCGAACUCGGCCGUUAAGGGCCAACACGCCGAUGGUACUGCGUCUCAAGACGUGGGAGAGUAGGUCACCGCCAAAC